rnacentral:rRNA from 1 species
CCUACGGGAGGCAGCAGUGAGGAAUAUUGGUCAAUGGACGCAAGUCUGAACCAGCCAUGCCGCGUGCAGGAAGACGGCUCUAUGAGUUGUAAACUGCUUUUGUACGAGGGUAAACGCAGAUACGCGUAUCUGUCUGAAAGUAUCGUACGAAUAAGGAUCGGCUAACUCCGUGCCAGCAGCCGCGGUAAUACGGAGGAUUCAAGCGUUAUCCGGAUUUAUUGGGUUUAAAGGGUGCGUAGGCGGUCGGAUAAGUUAGAGGUGAAAUCCCGAGGCUCAACUUCGGAAUUGCCUCUGAUACUGUGCGGCUAGGGAGUAGUUGCGGUAGGCGGAAUGUAUGGUGUAGCGGUGAAAUGCUUAGAGAUCAUACAGAACACCGAUUGCGAAGGCAGCUUACCAAGCCACUUCUGACGUUGAGGCACGAAAGCGUGGGGAGCAAACAGGAUUAGAUACCCGAGUAGUC